rnacentral:tRNA from 1 species
GGGGGCUUAGCUCAGUUGGUAGAGCGCCUGCUUUGCAAGCAGGAUGUCAGGGGUUCGAGUCCCCUAGCCUCCACCA